rnacentral:tRNA from 1 species
GCGCGGGUGGCGAAAUUGGUAGACGCACCAGGUUUAGGUCUUGGCGGUAUUGCACCGUGCCGGUUCGAGUCCGGCCUCGCGCACCA